CUCUGACCUCAGUGUACUGGACCCCGCAGAUGCAUGUGACCUUCCCAUGAAGUGCAUUUGGAGAAGUCACACCGUGCUGCCACCAGUUCAGUUCUUGGAAAGCACGCCUCAAAAUUCAAUCACACACGAGCACCAUCUAGGCACCCAACUCCACCCCCUUGUUGACUUGAUUAAGUAGUCACAUUGAUCCAUCUGGAUCUGGUUCGGCUCCUGGCAGUAACCUCCAGACCUCAUUCCAACAUGCCAGUAGUUUUCACCUUUCAGUGUCAGUGCAGAGUCGGUAGCCCUGGGUAAGCUCACUAUUCCGGCUCUCCAGAACAUUCUAAUUACCAGUCCACCCUCAUUAUGUUUGCCAUGUCAUUGUGUGCGGACGAACGAAUGAACAAACGGAGGGAGGGAGGAGAGGCACAGAGAAAGAGAGACUGUGAGCGGUUUGGACCAAUUUUGUAAUUUCUUAAUCACUUUUUUUGGCAACCUUUGCAUGUGUCUGGGUUAAUACCAUAAAUUGAAUAUUGCUUUGGU
ensembl:lncRNA